rnacentral:rRNA from 1 species
AAGCUCGUAGUUGAAUUUCGGGGUUAGUAGGUUGGUCAUGCCUCUGGUAUGUACUGGUCUCACUGAUUCCUCCUUCCAGAUGAACCUUAAUGCCAUUAAUUUGGUGUUUUGGGAAAUUUGGACUGUUACUUUGAAAAAAUUAGAGUGUUUAAAGCAAGCUAACGCUUGAAUACAUUAGCAUGGAAUAAUGAAAUAGGACGUUCGAUCCUAUUUUGUUGGUUUCUGGGAUCACCGUAAUGAUUAAUAGGGAUAGUUGGG